GAUUAACGCUAGCGGCAGGCCUAAUACAUGCAAGUCGAACGAGAUCCGGAAUAGCAAUAUUCCGGUGAGAGUGGCGGACGGGUGCGUAACACGUAUGCAACCUACCUUUUAACUGGGGAAUAGCGUCACCGAAAGGUGAAUUAAUACCGCAUAAAAUCACAAGAGGACAUCCUUUAAUGAUUAAAUCUACGGAGGUUUAAAGAUGGGCAUGCGCCCGAUUAGCUAGUUGGC
rnacentral:rRNA from 1 species